rnacentral:lncRNA from 1 species
UACGCUACGUUAUGGUAUGUUGUGUUACGCUACGUUAUGGUAUGUUGUGUUACGCUACGUUAUGGUAUGUUGUGUUACGCUACGUUAUGGAAUGUUGUGUUACACUACGUUAUGGUAUGUUGUGUUACACUACGUUAUGGUGUGUUACGUUACGGUACUCUACUUUAUGGUGUGUUACGUUACGUUAUGGUAUGUUGUGUUACACUACGUUAUGGUAUGUUGUGUUACACUACGUUAUGGUAUGUUGUGUUACACUACGUUAUGGUAUGUUGUGUUACACUACGUUAUGGUGUGUUACGUUACGGUACUCUACGUUAUGGUGUGUUACGUUACGUUAUGGUAUGUUGUGUUACACUACGUUAUGGUACGCUACGUUAUGGUAUGUUGUGUUACGCUACGUUAUGGUACGCUACGUUAUGGUACGCUACGUUAUGGUACGCUACGUUAUGGUAUGUUGUGUUACGCUACGUUAUGGAAUGUUGUGUUACGCUACGUUAUGGUAUGUUGUGUUACGCUACGUUAUGUAUGUUGUGUUACGCUACGUUAUGGUAUGUUGUGUUACGCUACGUUAUGUAUGUUGUGUUACACUACGGUACUCUACGUUAUGGUGUGUUACGUUACGGUACUCUACGUUAUGGUAUGUUGUGUUACGCUACGUUAUGGUAUGUUGUGUUACACUACGUUAUGGUAUGUUGUGUUACGUUACGUUAUGGUAUGUUGUGUUACGCUACGUUAUGGUACGCUACGUUAUGGUAUGUCGUGUUACGCUACGUUAUGGUAUGUCGUGUUACGCUACGUUAUGGUAUGUCGUGUUAUGCUACGUUAUGGUAUGUUGUGUUACACUACGUUAUGGUAUGUUGUGUUACGCUACGUUAUGGUAUGUUGUGUUACGCUACGUUAUGGUAUGUUGUGUUACGCUACGUUAUGUAUGUUGUGUUACGCUACGUUAUGUUAUGUUGUGUUAUGCUACGCUACAUUACGUUACGUUACGUUACGUUAUGGUAUGUUGUGUUACGUAACGGUAACGGUGCCUUCCUCAAUCCAAGGGGAUUCCUUCCUCAAUCCAAGGGGAUUCCUUCCUCAAUC